CCUGGUUGAUCAUGCGAGUAGUCAUAUGCUUGUCUCAAAGAAUAAGCCAUGCAUGUGUAAGUAUUAACUAAUUCAGACUGUGAAACUGUGAAUGGCUCCUUAAAUCAGUUAUAGUUUGUUUGAUGGUAUCUACUACUCGGAUAACCGUAGUAAUUCUAGAGCUAAUACAUGCAACAAACCCCGACUUUUGGAAGAGAUGCAUUUAUUAGAUAAAAGAUCGACAACAAGCUCUUCUUGUUGCUUUGAUGAUUCAUGAUAACUCGUCAAAUCGCACGACCCUUGUGCUGGUGACGCAUCAUUCAAAUUUAUUCCCUAUCAACUUUCAAUGGUAGGAUAGUGGCCUGCCAUGGUGGUGACGGAGAAUUAGAGUUCAAUUCUGGAGAGGGAGUCUGAGAAAUGGCUACCACAUCCAAGGAAUGCAAUAGGUGCACAAAUUACCCAAUCCUAACACGGAGAGGUAGUGACAAUAAAUAACAAUAUCGGGCUCAUUGAGUCUGGUAAUUGGAAUGAGUACAACCUAAAUCCCUUAAUGAGGAUCCAUUGCAAGGCAAUUCUGGUGCCAGCAGCUGCAGUAAUUCCAACUCCAAUUGCGUAUAUUUAAGUUAUUACAGUUAAAAAGCUCGUAGUUGGACCUUGGGUUGGGUCGAUCGGUCGGCCUCUGGUGUGCACCAGUUGGCUCGUCCCUUCUGUCGGCGGUGUGCUCUUGGUCUUAAUUGGUCAGGUUGUGCCUUCAGCGCUAUUACUUUGAAGAAAUUAGAGUGCUCAAAGUAAGCCUACGCUAUGGAUACAUUAGCAUGGGACAACAACACAUGAUUUUGAUCCUAUUGUGUUGGCCUUCAGGAUCGGAGUAAUGAUUAACAGAGAUAGUCGAGGGCAUUCGUAUUUCAUUAUCAGAGGUGAAAUUAUUGGAUUUAUUAAAGACGAACAACUGUGAAAGUAUUUGCCAAGAAUAUUUUCAUUAAUCAAGAGUGAAAGUUGGGGGCUCGAAGACGAUAAGAUAUCGUCCUAGUCUCAACCAUAAACGAUGCUGACCAGGGAUCAGCGGAUGUUUCUUUUAGGACUCCGUUGGCCCCUUAUGUGAAAUCAAAUUCUUUGGGCUCCGGGGGGAGUAUGGUCGCAAGGCUGAAACUUAAAGGAAUUGACGGAAGAACACCACCAAGAGUGGAGCUUGCGGCUUAAUUUGACUCAGCACGAGGAAACAUACCAGGUCCAAACAUAGGAAAGAUUGACAGACUGAUAGCUCUUUCUUGAUUCUAUGAGUGGUGGUGCAUGGCCAUUCAUAGUUGGUGGACCGAUUUUUCUGGUUAAUUCCAUUAACGAAUGAGACCUCAUCCUACUAAAUAGCAAUGUGGAGGUAACCUUCCACGACAAGCUUCUUAUAGGGAAUAUGGUCGUUUAGGCCAUAGAAGUUUCAAGCAAUAACAGGUGUGUGAUGCCCUUAGAUGUUCUAGGCCGCACGCCCGUUACGUUGAUGUAUUCAAUGAGUCUAUAGCCUAGGCUGACAGGCCCAGGUAAUAUUUGAAAUUUCAUCGUGAUGGGGAUAGAUCAUUGCAAUUGUUGGUUUUCAACGAGGAAUUCCUAGUAAGCGCGAGUCACCAGCUUGCGUUGAUUACGUCCCUGCCCUUUGUACACACCGCCCGUCCCUCCUACAGAUUGAAUGGUCCGGUGAAGUGUUUGAAUUGCAACGACAUAGGCGGUUCGCUGCCCGCGACGUUGUGAGAAGAUCAUUGAACCUUAUCAUUUAGAGGUAGGAGAAGUCGUAACAAGGUUUCUUGUAUGUGAACCUGCGGAAG
rnacentral:rRNA from 1 species